rnacentral:rRNA from 1 species
GAAUAUUGGUCAAUGGACGCAAGUCUGAACCAGCCAUGCCGCGUGCAGGAUGGCGGUCCUAUGGAUUGUAAACUGCUUUUGUACGAGAAGAAACACUCCUACGUGUAGGAAUUUGACGGUAUCGUAAGAAUAAGGAUCGGCUAACUCCGUUCCAGCCGCCGCGGUAAUACGGAGGAUCCAAGCGUUAUCCGGAAUCAUUGGGUUUAAAGGGUCCGUAGGCGGUUUAGUAAGUCAGUGGUGAAAGCCCAUCGCUCAACGGUGGAACGGCCAUCGAUACUGCUAGACUUGAAUUAUUAGGAAGUAACUAGAAUAUGUAGUGUAGCGGUGAAAUGCUUAGAGAUUACAUGGAAUACCAAUUGCGAAGGCAGGUUACUACUAAUUGAUUGACGCUGAUGGACGAAAGCGUGGGGAGCGAACAGG